rnacentral:rRNA from 1 species
GACGAACGCUGGCGGCGUGCCUAAUACAUGCAAGUCGAGCGGACGGAUGGGAGCUUGCUCCCAGACCGUCAGCGGCGGACGGGUGAGUAACACGUGGGCAACCUGCCUGUAAGACUGGGAUAACUCCGGGAAACCGGGGCUAAUACCGGAUAACUCUUUCCCUCACAUGAGGGAAAGCUGAAAGAUGGCAUCUCGCUAUCACUUACAGAUGGGCCCGCGGCGCAUUAGCUAGUUGGUGAGGUAACGGCUCACCAAGGCGACGAUGCGUAGCCGACCUGAGAGGGUGAUCGGCCACACUGGGACUGAGACACGGCCCAGACUCCUACGGGAGGCAGCAGUAGGGAAUCUUCCGCAAUGGACGAAAGUCUGACGGAGCAACGCCGCGUGAGUGAUGAAGGUUUUCGGAUCGUAAAACUCUGUUGUCAGGGAAGAACAAGUACCGGAGUAACUGCCGGUACCUUGACGGUACCCGACCAGAAAGCCACGGCUAACUACGUG